rnacentral:rRNA from 1 species
ACGAACGCUGGCGGCGUGCUUAACACAUGCAAGUCGAACGGAAAGGCCUGCUUUCCCUUGUGGAUUGCGGGUACUCGAGUGGCAAACGGGUGAGUAACACGUGAGUGAUCUGCCCCCAACUUGGGUAUAAGCCUGGGAAACUGGGUCUAAUUCCCGAUAGGACUGCAGGGUGGUGCCUGUGGUGGAAAACGAUUUUCUAGUGGUUGGGGAUGAGCUCGCGGCCUAUCAGCUUGUUGGUGGGGUAAUGGCCUACCAAGGCGGCGACGGGUAGCCGGCCUGAGAGGGUGGACGGCCACAUUGGGACUGAGAUACGGCCCAGACUCCUACGGGAGGCAGCAGUGGGGAAUAUUGCACAAUGGGCGGAAGCCUGAUGCAGCGACGCCGCGUGGGGGAUGACGGCCUUCGGGUUGUAAACUCCUUUCGACCGCGAGGAAGCCACCUGGUUGGAAGGGUGGUGACGGUAGUGGUAGAAGAAGCACCGGCUAACUACGUG